AAAUUGAAGAGUUUGAUCAUGGCUCAGAUUGAACGCUGGCGGCAGGCCUAACACAUGCAAGUCGAACGGUAGCACAGAGAGCUUGCUCUCGGGUGACGAGUGGCGGACGGGUGAGUAAUGUCUGGGAAACUGCCUGAUGGAGGGGGAUAACUACUGGAAACGGUGGCUAAUACCGCAUAACGUCGCAAGACCAAAGAGGGGGACCUUCGGGCCUCUUGCCAUCAGAUGUGCCCAGAUGGGAUUAGCUGGUUGGUGAGGUAACGGCUCACCAAGGCGACGAUCCCUAGCUGGUCUGAGAGGAUGACCAGCCACACUGGAACUGAGACACGGUCCAGACUCCUACGGGAGGCAGCAGUGGGGAAUAUUGCACAAUGGGCGCAAGCCUGAU
rnacentral:rRNA from 1 species